rnacentral:tRNA from 1 species
UAGCUCAAGUGGUAGAGCGCAUGCUUAGCAUGCAUGAGGUCCUGGGUUCAAUUGCCAG